CCUACGGGAGGCUGCAGUGGGGAAUAUUGCACAAUGGGGGAAACCCUGAUGCAGCGAUGCCGCGUGAGUGAAGAAGGAAUUCGUUAUGGAAAGCUCUAUCAGCAGGGAAGAAAAUGACGGUACCUGAGUAAGAAGCCCCGGCUAACUACGGGCCAGCAGCCGCGGUUAUACGUAGGGGGCAAGCGUUAUCCGGAUUUACUGGGUGUAAAGGGAGCGUAGACGGCAGAGCAAGUCUGGAGUGAAAGGCGGGGGCUCAACCCCCGGACUGCUCUGGAAACUGUACGGCUGGAGUGCAGGAGAGGUAAGUGGAAUGCCUAGUGUAGCGGUGAAAUGCGUAGAUAUUAGGAGGAACACCAGUGGCGAAGGCGGCUUACUGGACUGUAACUGACGUUGAGGCUCGAAAGCGUGGGGAGCAAACAGGAUUAGAUACCCUGGUAGUC
rnacentral:rRNA from 1 species